rnacentral:rRNA from 1 species
CCUACGGGUGGCAGCAGUGAGGAAUAUUGGUCAAUGGACGAAAGUCUGAACCAGCCAUGCAGCGUGCAGGAAGACGGCCCUAUGGGUUGUAAACUGCUUUUAUAAGGGGAUAAACGGAGAUACGUGUGUCUGUUUGCAUGUAUUUUAUGAAUAAGGAUCGGCUAACUCCGUGCCAGCAGCCGCGGUAAUACGGAGGAUCCAAGCGUUAUCCGGAUUUAUUGGGUUUAAAGGGAGCGUAGAUGGUUGGUUAAGUUAGUGGUGAAAGUCUGCGGCUCAACUGUGGAAUUGCCACUGAUACUGGUCGGCUUGAGUACAGUUGCGGUAGGCGGAAUUUAUGGUGUAGCGGUGAAAUGCUUAGAUAUCACACAGAACACCGAUUGCGAAGGCAGCUUACCAAACUACGACUGACAUUGAGGCACGAAAGUGUGGGUAGCAAACAGGAUUAGAUACCCGUGUAGUC